rnacentral:rRNA from 1 species
AGUGAACGCUGGCGGUAGGCCUAACACAUGCAAGUCGAACGGCAGCACAGUAAGAGCUUGCUCUUACGGGUGGCGAGUGGCGGACGGGUGAGGAAUACAUCGGAAUCUACUUUUUCGUGGGGGAUAACGUAGGGAAACUUACGCUAAUACCGCAUACGACCUACGGGUGAAAGCAGGGGAUCUUCGGACCUUGCGCGAUUGAAUGAGCCGAUGUCGGAUUAGCUAGUUGGCGGGGUAAAGGCCCACCAAGGCGACGAUCCGUAGCUGGUCUGAGAGGAUGAUCGGCCACACUGGAACUGAGACACGGUCCAGACUCCUACGGGAGGCAGCAGUGGGGAAUAUUGGACAAUGGGCGCAAGCCUGAUCCAGCCAUACCGCGUGAGUGAAGAAGGCCUUCGGGUUGUAAAGCCCUUUUGUUGGGAAAGAAAAGCAGCAGGUUAAUACCCCGCUGUUCUGACGGUACCCAAAGAAUAAGCACCGGCUAACUUCGUG